UACGUAGGUGGCAAGCGUUGUCCGGAAUUAUUGGGCGUAAAGCGCGCGCAGGCGGUCCUUUAAGUCUGAUGUGAAAGCCCACGGCUCAACCGUGGAGGGUCAUUGGAAACUGAGGGACUUGAGUGCAGAAGAGGAAAGCGGAAUUCCACGUGUAGCGGUGAAAUGCGUAGAGAUGUGGAGGAACACCAGUGGCGAAAGGCGGCUUUCUGGUCUGUAACUGACGCUGAGGCGCGAAAGCGUGGGGAGCAAACAGG
rnacentral:rRNA from 1 species